rnacentral:rRNA from 1 species
UCCUGACUGACCGAUAGUGAACCAGUACCGUGAGGGAAAGGCGAAAAGAACCCCGGCGAGGGGAGUGAAAAAGAACCUGAAACCGUGUACGUACAAGCAGUGGGAGCACGCUUAGGCGUGUGACUGCGUACCUUUUGUAUAAUGGGUCAGCGACUUAUAUUCUGUAGCAAGGUUAACCGAAUAGGGGAGCCGAAGGGAAACCGAGUCUUAACUGGGCGUUAAGUUGCAGGGUAUAGACCCGAAACCCGGUGAUCUAGCCAUGGGCAGGUUGAAGGUUGGGUAACACUAACUGGAGGACCGAACCGACUAAUGUUGAAAAAUUAGCGGAUGACUUGUGGCUGGGGGUGAAAGGCCAAUCAAACCGGGAGAUAGCUGGUUCUCCCCGAAAGCUAUUUAGGUAGCGCCUCGUGAAUUCAUCUCCGGGGGUAGAGCACUGUUUCGGCAAGGGGGUCAUCCCGACUUACCAACCCGAUGCAAACUGCGAAUACCGGAGAAUGUUAUCACGGGAGACACACGGCGGGUGCUAACGUCCGUCGUGAAGAGGGAAACAACCCAGACCGCCAGCUAAGGUCCCAAAGUCAUGGUUAAGUGGGAAACGAUGUGGGAAGGCCCAGACAGCCAGGAUGUUGGCUUAGAAGCAGCCAUCAUUUAAAGAAAGCGUAAUAGCUCACUGGUCGAGUCGGCCUGCGCGGAAGAUGUAACGGGGCUAAACCAUGCACCGAAGCUGCGGCAGCGACGCUUAUGCGUUGUUGGGUAGGGGAGCGUUCUGUAAGCCUGUGAAGGUGUGCUGUGAGGCAUGCUGGAGGUAUCAGAAGUGCGAAUGCUGACAUAAGUAACGAUAAAGCGGGUGAAAAGCCCGCUCGCCGGAAGACCAAGGGUUCCUGUCCAACGUUAAUCGGGGCAGGGUGAGUCGACCCCUAAGGCGAGGCCGAAAGGCGUAGUCGAUGGGAAACAGGUUAAUAUUCCUGUACUUGGUGUUACUGCGAAGGGGGGACGGAGAAGGCUAUGUUGGCCGGGCGACGGUUGUCCCGGUUUAAGCGUGUAGGCUGGUUUUCCAGGCAAAUCCGGAAAAUCAAGGCUGAGGCGUGAUGACGAGGCACUACGGUGCUGAAGCAACAAAUGCCCUGCUUCCAGGAAAAGCCUCUAAGCAUCAGGUAACAUCAAAUCGUACCCCAAACCGACACAGGUGGUCAGGUAGAGAAUACCAAGGCGCUUGAGAGAACUCGGGUGAAGGAACUAGGCAAAAUGGUGCCGUAACUUCGGGAGAAGGCACGCUGAUAUGUAGGUGAAGUCCCUUGCGGAUGGAGCUGAAAUCAGUCGAAGAUACCAGCUGGCUGCAACUGUUUAUUAAAAACACAGCACUGUGCAAACACGAAAGUGGACGUAUACGGUGUGACGCCUGCCCGGUGCCGGAAGGUUAAUUGAUGGGGUUAGCGGUAACGCGAAGCUCUUGAUCGAAGCCCCGGUAAACGGCGGCCGUAACUAUAACGGUCCUAAGGUAGCGAAAUUCCUUGUCGGGUAAGUUCCGACCUGCACGAAUGGCGUAAUGAUGGCCAGGCUGUCUCCACCCGAGACUCAGUGAAAUUGAACUCGCUGUGAAGAUGCAGUGUACCCGCGGCAAGACGGAAAGACCCCGUGAACCUUUACUAUAGCUUGACACUGAACAUUGAGCCUUGAUGUGUAGGAUAGGUGGGAGGCUUUGAAGUGUGGACGCCAGUCUGCAUGGAGCCGACCUUGAAAUACCACCCUUUAAUGUUUGAUGUUCUAACGUUGACCCGUGAUCCGGGUUGCGGACAGUGUCUGGUGGGUAGUUUGACUGGGGCGGUCUCCUCCUAAAGAGUAACGGAGGAGCACGAAGGUUGGCUAAUCCUGGUCGGACAUCAGGAGGUUAGUGCAAUGGCAUAAGCCAGCUUGACUGCGAGCGUGACGGCGCGAGCAGGUGCGAAAGCAGGUCAUAGUGAUCCGGUGGUUCUGAAUGGAAGGGCCAUCGCUCAACGGAUAAAAGGUACUCCGGGGAUAACAGGCUGAUACCGCCCAAGAGUUCAUAUCGACGGCGGUGUUUGGCACCUCGAUGUCGGCUCAUCACAUCCUGGGGCUGAAGUAGGUCCCAAGGGUAUGGCUGUUCGCCAUUUAAAGUGGUACGCGAGCUGGGUUUAGAACGUCGUGAGACAGUUCGGUCCCUAUCUGCCGUGGGCGCUGGAGAACUGAGGGGGGCUGCUCCUAGUACGAGAGGACCGGAGUGGACGCAUCACUGGUGUUCGGGUUGUCAUGCCAAUGGCACUGCCCGGUAGCUAAAUGCGGAAGAGAUAAGUGCUGAAAGCAUCUAAGCACGAAACUUGCCCCGAGAUGAGUUCUCCCUGACCCUUUAAGGGUCCUGAAGGAACGUUGAAGACGACGACGUUGAUAGGCCGGGUGUGUAAGCGCAGCGAUGCGUUGAGCUAACCGGUACUAAUGAACCGUGAGG